rnacentral:rRNA from 1 species
GAUGUGGAAGCCCUGUAAGGGGUGGAGCUGACCAGUACUAAUGGGCGAUUGUGA